GAGUUUGACCCCCAUUGGGUGUCAGUCAUCUUUGGCUUCGGUUUAUGAUGGAGWUUUUAAUUGUUUCAGGAUCUACGUAGUGAAAAGCUUUAAAGGCGAACCCAUACCGGACCCUGGGAAAUCUGAAAUUUUCCAGGACUGGUUUUCUCUGAACUCGAAAGGUCAAGAAGUUAUUCCUUCUUCAAAGCCCGAAAAAUCUGCAGUCCGAAUGUGGCUAAGUUCCCACUUCAC